rnacentral:rRNA from 1 species
GACGUAGGGCGCGAGCGUUGUCCGGAUUUAUUGGGCGUAAAGAGCUCGUAGGCGGCUUGUUACGUCAGCUGUGAAAACCCGCAGCUCAACUGUGGGCUUGCAGCUGAUACGGGCAGGCUUGAGUUCGGUAGGGGAGACUGGAAUUCCUGGUGUAGCGGUGAAAUGCGCAGAUAUCAGGAGGAACACCGGUGGCGAAGGCGGGUCUCUGGGCCGAUACUGACGCUGAGGAGCGAAAGCGUGGGGAGCGAACAGG